AGUGCUCAUUCACGUAUCGUUUAAGUUAAACAUGAUGUAAAUGUCCCGGAACUUUCACGUUAUAGUAUUUGCAUAAAGAGUUCAUAUCAGAGUAUUUCUAUCAGCAUAUGGAAUGAUUCUGAAAUAGUAGUACCGAGGAAGUUUCCGGAAUCACGUGACACGCUGAAGGAGGUAGAAUACACAAUAUGUGCUCAUACAAAUGUCAAGAAUGAGCGAGUGAUGUUUAGCGUCCUUCUCCAGUGUUGUCAGCUUUUCGUGCACUUCCUUAAUCAUAUUUCAUAUUUACUUUUCCAUUCUCUAUUAGUUUCAUCUCAAAGAUCUUACAAGGAAAUGUAUAGUGGUGUGCAUCCAAAGCUGAAAGAACUCGUCAUUAAUAUAUCCUCAUAUCCUCAUUGCAUUGGGUUUUACCAACACGUGUGUAUAAUUAAUUGAAAGAAACAUCAUCUGUUUCAUGCAAAAAUAUUUACAAAUAUAGGUUUGUAUCUAUUUUAUCAAUAAUGUCUUAAACAAACAGCAACAAUCUUGUGUUACAUCUGUUACAUAUGUAUAUAUACACGCAUAAAUUUAAUUUUGUUUUUUUCUGUUGUGACCCUGUUUACAAUGGGUAUUUGGGUAUUAGUAAUGCAGUCUAACCGAUCAUGUAAUCGAAGAAAUAUUACAUGUUUACUGUGAAAAUUUCAGUGCUUUGGAAUACCAUGCAUUUUCACAUGAAAUCGUGUAUUUCUGUUUAAAAAAACCCAGAUGAUUAAGAUAACUUAAAAACAUGAAUAAUUUAUCAGAAUAAUAAGGUUUUCAUCAGCAUCACACACAAAAAAGGUUUACUUUAAAGUCACCCUUCCCGCCCGUAUCUAAAUGGAAAACUGUAAUUUACAUGAAAUGUAUAUUAAAAAGAUGAAACUGAUAGAGUGGUAUUUACACUUUAGAAUUUUAAAAUACUAGAGGGAAAUAAAUUGAGGUAGGGAACAUUAUAAAGCUAUGUAUUAUCACUUCAAACCGACAUGUUCCUCUCUUUUAUUUAUUGAAGUCCAAUAUUACCACCUAGUUUUGCCAACAAUAAAUGACUUUUUUUUAAAAAUUGUUUAGAUAUAUUAUGUUUAUAUUUUCAAGACUUCUCAUGACUCAUCGAAAUAUCCGUUGCUGUGGACACCGUACCACAAUCAUUAUUUCCCAACACGUGCAUGCACAUGUCUUGUUUUGUAUAGUUUUACGUCUUAUUCGAAUUUGUUUUUUAUUCAUAUAGAGACGUCGUUCAUCUUUAAGUGAAAUGCCACAAAGUUUUACUUAAAUGCAUUUAAGAUCGUUUUUUUUAAAAGUCAUAUCCAUAAGACCCAUGAUUUUCACUCUUGACGCAGAAGCAGUCCCUACCUAUGCCACACGUCUUAGGUUGGACACCGCAAAAGGAUAAAGAACUGAACGCUUCAGUCUAGGUGACGAGGUGUCCAAUGUUUUGGAUUUGCUGCUUGAGUGAGAAUCAAAAAGGCGUGGAAGCCCAAAAAGAAAAGUCCUUACCUUUUCCAACAACUUUCGCCGAGCCGUCAUUAUUAAUAACCACUGCGUUCGUAACGAUUGUGUUAUUGUUCGUCUCAUUGGGUUGGACCAUUUCAGGCAUGGUUGGGAUCUCCUCUUGUGAGACGGGGAUGAGGGUGAUGAUGGUCGGCUGAGCAUCAGGUUCAUCAUGCUCUUCGGGGGUCUGGUCCCGUUCAGGAGCCGCCUCCAUGUUUUCAAUUUGACUGUGUAGGACCUCCACGAUGAUCGUUUUUGCCAGCGGUGUGACUUAUUAUAUUCCGUCAAAGGAAAAAAAAUCUUCGGUCCUCAGUAAUUCCACUGGAAAGAUAUAGUUGUGAAAUUGUGUCAAGAACUUAUUCCAGCGAAUCAUAACAAACAUCGAUCAUUCAUAAAGUUUGUAAUGCUCUCAUGGUUUAACUUCCGUACGAAAUGUUGACAGAAGGCAACCAUGUAAAGCCGCGCAGCGGUUCGCAGGUCGGAGCAAACAUGCGUGAAGAAAAUAAAGAGUAUAUACACUACCUGUCGAUGGUGUCCAGUCAACCGUGUUUCGGACCAGACGUACAAGUUAACAGAAAGAGAUCAACGACAGUUUCUCCAAUAUCUAUGUGUGUUGUACCAAUACCAACCUGUUCAAGUUGAGAAAAUGGACGAUACGUUUACAAAGCUGGCAAAAUCCGUUGUAAUGAUUUUUGUCUAUUUUUUACCUUCAUGCAUAUUUAAAGAUUUACCUGAGAGUUGAUUGGUCGACCUUGUCUUUCCCGCCAUUAAAAGCCAUCGUCAUCGACGUGGUGUUUUGCUAACAGGCGACAUACAUUUUUAUAUGUGAGGCCAAUAUACGUGGUGUGUGGAUACUUAUUUUCAUUUCAGGAGGCAUAGGGGAUCAGAUGUUAGGGUAUAGUGCUGGUGAUUACCUGAGUUUAGUUACCUGAUCCAUAUUAUACCCGAAAUACAACACCAGAUGAAAAGGGACUGCUAAAACGGGGCGUGGAUUUGCAUGACAAAUCUCCCAUACUAAAACUGUUAUAAUGCGUUAAAGUUAUGACGACAAGAAACAAUAUGAUUGAUAUAUCAGACAAUCAUGGUAAAGGAUAGGUUGAAUAUUUGUCACCAAAACUUUUUUAUCUUAUGGAAAACCUUAAAAAUACCAAUGCGGCUUCAAAAAAAAGAUAAUAGAUCGUAUCUGGAAUCCUGUGUCAUUCUUUUCUGGAUCUAUCGCUCAAGUAUCUGCAUACCUAACUAAAUUAACAGUCAAAUACACAAAUCUUAGGCAUGGGGGUAAUGUUGCAAAAAAGUUUAUUUUGCUUUACCAAAUCCUGAACAUCAACACAUAUAAGCAGGCGGCCAUCUUUGUAAUAGACCCUCAAGGUACGAUCAGAGAGAAAAAGCUCUACCUGGAGAGACCUUAGACCGGUUUUUAUAUGCGUGCGUUUCAUAUUUACUGUAGGCAUAUAUAAAAUCUAAGUGGAGUAGACCUAACUAUGGCAAAUAUCUGAUUCCCUUUUCAUUCCAUGAAUAAUACGGCUUUGUGAGAGGGUAUUAAUACACCUUUGACACAUUCUUAGCACAACCACUCUGUAUAGGUAAAUUUUCCUUUUGAAGAGGAAUGUUUUCGUCUUAUUUGGGGUUCUGAAUAAUGAAAGGUAAUAAUUAUUUUGUCUAGAGACUAACUCUGACUCUGACAUAGGAAAUUUGCACUUUAAAUGUAUAGAUGCAACUUGAGAUAAUAAAACGAACGGAGAUAGUUGAAACUGAGUAAUGAGGAAGAAGUGAAAUUAAUAGUUUGCCCUGACAUAUAAGUAAUAGAUAAAUUAUGUAGAAAACUUUGCUAAAAUUUUCAAAGCAUUAUUUUUUUUCAUUUCAAGCAACAUUUCAAAAUUUAGUACUUCAGAUUACAUAUUAGGAUUGUACACUUGAAAUAAAAAAAAAAUUGCAAAGCAUCUUGUUAAUAUCAGUAAAUGUUUAACUUUGGGCUCAGGUUUUAAAUACCAUCGUAUGGUAAUUCUAGUCGCAUGAGUAGGCAAUUUCCUACUACAGCAUGACGUUUUGGCUUCAGAAUAAUGUAUCGCUAUACAAAACUCGUGGUUUGCUGAAAGAAAGGCACAUAAUGAGACCAAGUAAGGUAAGAUAAGGUAAGUAUUUUUCCAGACGAGUAAAUAUACAUGUUCACAUCAGACGUGUUACCUUGUCUCUCCAGUCAACGUGAGUUUUGGACUAAAUAAUUCAGAAGUAUAGCAUGUAUGUACCUCUGUAUUCUAAAGGCUUAGAAAAGUAAAAUUUGCUAUUGUAUAUUUCAGAAACGUCUUUCUACAAUCUGAUAUCAACAGUAUGCAGAGUGUAUAAGCGCCCAGCUCUGCACUGUGUGGAGGAUACCGUUUAACAUGAUCAGUAAAAAUGCCAGGAGUUGCAGAACUUUACUUACGGCAGUAUCAGUCAUCAUCAAGCUGUGACAGACUUUGUUUUGUAACAUAUUUUGUUUUGUAACAUAUUUUGUUUUGUAACAUAUGAAUAAAGGAAGGUCAGCAAUAUAA